UACGAAGGGGGCUAGCGUUGCUCGGAAUUACUGGGCGUAAAGGGCGCGUAGGCGGACAUUUAAGUUGGAGGUGAAAGCCCAGGGCUCAACCCUGGAAUAGCCUUUAAUACUGGAUGUCUUGAGUUCGGGAGAGGUGAGUGGAAUGCCGAGUGUAGAGGUGAAAUUCGUAGAUAUUCGGCGGAACACCAGUGGCGAAGGCGACUCACUGGCCCGAUACUGACGCUGAGGCGCGAAAGCGUGGGGAGCAAACAGG
rnacentral:rRNA from 1 species